CGACUACUGUGGCUACUGUUGCAUGGCCUACACUGCUUCGGUGAGGCCUCUGACCUGCUGAACCAAUAGGUCGAACUACUCUAUGCUGACUACCAUUAUCGGAGGAGAAGGAGCCUGGGAAACUGGGGAUGAGGUCAGAGCUUGUGGGUCUCGCUGAGAUCUGGCUGCGAAGGUCGUGGAUCGCCUGGUGGAUACCUUUCGGGGAGGCAUCAGGUGG
rnacentral:lncRNA from 1 species